AGCUUUAUAGUCAAUGAUGAUAUUAGACUGCAAUUCUGAAGGAGUAAUAUAUAUGUAUUACUAAGGCUU
rnacentral:tRNA from 1 species